CGCGAAGAACCUUACCUGGUCUUGACAUCCCGGAGACCCUUAGGAAACGUAGGGGUGCUUCCAUCUGGAAGAAUCUGGAGACAGGUGCUGCAUGGCUGUCGUCAGCUCGUGUCGUGAGAUGUUGGGUUAAGUCCCGCAACGAGCGCAACCCUUGCCUUAGUUGCCAGCAGUUCGGCUGGGCACUCUAAAGGGACUGCCGGUGUUAAACCGGAGGAAGGUGGGGAUGACGUCAAGUCCUCAUGGCCUUUAUGACCAGGGCUACACACGUACUACAAUGGCCGAUACAAAGGGCAGCGACACUGCGAGGUGAAGCCAAUCCCGUAAAAUCGGUCUCAGUCCGGAUUGGAGUCUGCAACUCGACUCCAUGAAGUUGGAAUCGCUAGUAAUCGUGGAUCAGCAUGCCACGGUGAAUACGUUCCCGGGCCUU
rnacentral:rRNA from 1 species